UACGUAGGGUGCAAGCGUUGUCCGGAAUUAUUGGGCGUAAAGAGCUCGUAGGCGGUCUGUCGCGUCUGCUGUGAAAACUCGGGGCUUAACCCCGAGCCUGCAGUGGAUACGGGCAGACUAGAGGUAGGUAGGGGAGAAUGGAAUUCCCGGUGUAGCGGUGAAAUGCGCAGAUAUCGGGAGGAACACCGGUGGCGAAGGCGGUUCUCUGGGCCUUACCUGACGCUGAGGAGCGAAAGCGUGGGGAGCGAA
rnacentral:rRNA from 1 species